AUUUUUUUUUUAAAUGUUAAAGGGUUUGGGGGGGGGCAGGGUUUGCUUAUUAACUAUUUUCUGAUUACCUUAGGGCUUGCAAAGGACUUUUCUGGCAGCUGUGUACUGUUUUGUCUCAAUGUCCCAUCAAGAGAAGACGGCCUGUCCCUACCACAGCAGCAAUGGACCAGCAUUCCAGAUAAAAGGAGCCCUGUCUCAGGCAUUCUGGGCUGAUGAAUCUAGCCACCACCAAGGAAAUGAUCAGAUUAUCACCUAUCACAACAAAAAGUGAGGAUGUUCUUCAGAUGAAUGCACAGCUGACUGGCACUCAGGACAUGUGUUUUGAUUCUUUACACAACCAUAGACUUUCCUAGAUCCUGCCUGCCUGUCUGCCUGAGGUGUGCAGGAGGGCAGAGCUUCUCUCCACAGCUGUGGUGCCCCCCCCGGGACCACUUGCAGAUGGGUGCUGCCUGGGGGGUUCCACCGCUGCCAUGGAGGGAAGCACCAGUCCUCCCCCGGCCCCCCCGCCCCGACCAGCUUGGGGACCACUCAGCCCACUGGCAGCUUGCCAUUCCCUCCCCAGCACUGGAAAGGCAAGUAAGCAUCAGGCCCAACCCUUCUGUAAAUGCCACGGGGGUUUAUUUCACCCUAAAUUAAAGUGGUGUUUUUAAAGACUCACCGCUUCAAUUUAGGGAGAAUUAAACCGAAGUGAACCCCCAUGGUGUGUACAAACGCCC